rnacentral:rRNA from 1 species
GACGAACGCUGGCGGCGUGCUUAACACAUGCAAGUCACGGGGGCCGCAAGGGUAACCGGCGAACGGGUGCGUAACACGUGAGCAACCUGCCGAUCUGAGGGGGAUAGCCGGCCCAACGGCCGGGUAAUACCGCAUACGUUCUUUUGGUCUCAUGACCGAGAGAAGAAACCUCCGGGGCAGAUCGAGGGGCUCGCGGCCUAUCAGCUAGUUGGUGUGGGUAACGGCCCACCAAGGCGACGACGGGUAGCUGGCUGAGAGGAUGGCCAGCCACAUUGGGACUGAGAGACGGCCCAGACUCCUACGGGAGGCAGCAGUGGGAAUCUUGCGCAAUGGCCGAAAGGCUGACGCAGCGACGCCGCGUGGAGGAUGACGGCC